rnacentral:rRNA from 1 species
UUCGGGUCUAGUGGCGCACGGGUGCGUAACGCGUGGGAACCUGCCUUUAGGUUCGGAUAACUCAGAGAAAUUUGAGCUAAUACCGGAUAAUGUCUUCGGACCAAAGAUUUAUCGCCCUGAGAUAAGCCCGCGUAGGAUUAGCUAGUUGUGGGUAAAGGCUCACCAAGGCGACGAUCCUUAGCUGGUCUGAGAGGAUGAUCAGCCACACUGGGACUGAGACACGGCCCAGACUCCUACGGGAGGCAGCAGUGGGGGAAUAUUGGACAAUGGGCGAAAGCCUGAUCCAGCAAUGCCGCGUGAGUGAUGAAGGCCUUCGGGUUGUAAAGCUCUUUUACUCGGGACGAUAAUGACGGUACCGAGAGAAUAAGCCCCGGCUAACUCCGUG